rnacentral:pre_miRNA from 1 species
AUUAUACUCUUUCCGUCCGGAAUUACUUGUCGUAGAAGUAGAUGUAUUUAGAUGUAUUUUAGUUCUACGUACAUCCAUUUCUGUGACAGGUAAUUCGGGACGGAGGGAGUACUAG